AUUAGCAAUUUUAAUUACCAGGUGCUAGGGGUCGUUGCUUGUGGAGCUUUUUUUUUUUUUUGCUGUUGUUGUAAUUGGGCAGGCUGUUAAUAGCUCCGCAGACGUCCUGAAGGUCCCUGAAAGCUGAAUGUGCUGUUUACUAAUCUGCUUGGGCUAGUAGAUUAGUUUGCCCUUUGAGAGAAUACAAAGGAUGAAUAUCUGCAGUAUGGUGUCCUAGCUUUGUUUUUAUUUGCUCUGCGGUAAUACCUACUGUCCCAUCUCGCAUCACAGCUCCAUCUAUUCCCCCAGUAGCCAGACUGCCAUUCAUGAGCUGCAUCUUGGCCAACAGGAGCAGUUGGGCAAACCCUUCCCAGCAGCGUCUUUCCUGGCUUUGCUUUAAAGACCCCACUGAGUCUCAGAAGAUCCACUACUUUCCAGAGAGAUGGCAAUUACCUGGAGGCAAGCGACAAAGCGCAGGUUGGGCCGGUGCAGCUGGUUUGUCUCACACAGCGCCAGCCGGUCCUGAUGGUGGUCCCAGGCACAGCUCCUUUUGUCAUUUCUUCAUUCCAGCCCAGGAACCUGUCAUCUCCUCUGAAGGCAGGCCUGGUUUGUGCCACCGAGAGCUAGUAGUGCCUUGGAAAUGUUACCGGUUCCUGGCUGUAGGCGUACAGAGCUGUAAAUGGCCUACAGGUUUGUGAGUGCUGUGUGCGAAUUUUCGCUUUGAGAAGUGAAAAUGUUUUGUUGCUUGUUCAGCAGGAUCUGUCAGACAAAAUCUUGUGGCACCUGCCAUUGAAAUCAAGGGCAAAGCUGUGCCUGGAUUGAAAGCCUUGGGACUGAGCUGUCAGGUCCCUGUUGUGUAAAAAAAUAAAUAAAUAGAAAUGACAAAGUCUAAAUGCCUGAGAUUUCCAUAGUGGUACUUAAGGUCUUUGAUAAACAUUCAUAAACAUUCCCUUUCUACUGCUGGUGAAAUCCAUCAUGGCUUUGAAAUUGUUGAGACCUGGGAAAAAGUAGUUAAAUUGUUAGCACAGGUAGAAAGAAGCCCUGGAGAAAAGGGUACGGUGUUCAAUGUGCUCCCAGCCCCUUACUUUCUGUGGCACAGCUACUGCCAUUAACACCCUUUGGAAAACAUGGAUUCAUUCCCUUUCUGCUGACCCCAGUGCCUGCAGACAAGCUGCAAAAGCCCAGUGCCAGGCCUGACACCUCUCUAGAGGAAGCUGCAAAUGACUAAUAUCUCCGGGGACGGGGGCAGCCUGGGGCAGAAUUUGAUUUCCUGAAGUCAUUCUGAGCUGUGGGAGAUGUUGGCGCAGGGUGGCAGCUGUUUUUGGCAGGGACUAAAAAUUUUGGUGACAGGACUAAUGCACAGUCUUGGCAGGUCAACUGGUUUUCAUGAGCAACCAUCGUUUCUAAGUCUGAAAUGUGGUCUUCAUUGGAGGAAAAAAAAUUCUUACCUGAGAUAUGGCUAAGUUCAUUUUGUUUUCCUCUACGUUUUCACCUGGAGACAGAUUACUUUAUUAGCUGCACU
rnacentral:lncRNA from 7 species